UACAGAGGUCCCAAGCGUUGUUCGGAUUUAUUGGGCGUAAAGGGUGCGUAGGCGGUCGCCUAAGUCAGGUGUGAAAUCUCGGGGCUCAACCUCGAAACUGCACUUGAUACUGGGUGGCUUGAGUACUGGAGAGGAGACUGGAAUUUACGGUGUAGCAGUGAAAUGCGUAGAUAUCGUAAGGAAGACCAGUGGCGAAGGCGAGUCUCUGGACAGUUACUGACGCUGAGGCACGAAGGCCAGGGGAGCAAAC
rnacentral:rRNA from 1 species